rnacentral:lncRNA from 1 species
UCCCACUGUCCCAGCGGGUCCCUCCACACGCUCUCUCUGUUCCUCCCCAUCUCUCCCCUCGUUCCUCCAGAAUUGCCCCACCCCAGUGCCCAAUUGUUGUCCCUGUGUCUUGUAGAGCCGUUCUGCUACCCGCUCUGGAGUGGGGACAGUCUACACGUGUACCUGCAGAUUCCAACUCACCAGGUAGAGUCUCUCCCAAAGAGUCAUUUGAAUCACACAUUUCUCCCUCUUGUUUCAAAUAUUGUUAUGAAUUAAUGGAUGGCAGUAACAAAGGACAUUUGUCUACCGCUCUCCAUUUCCCAUCCCAAACAGACACAACUCAAUGGCAACACCGUCUUUAGGCGGUUACUUGGUGCCCGGCCCAGUGCCAGCAUUGCACAUCAGAGGUGGUACUGCCCCCAAAGUGCUCCCAGCCUACUGGCAAGAACAGAUGCACAAACAAGUAGAGAGGAGUGAAGCCACAAUCUGUGCCAUCCCUGGGGCAGAGGAGCAACUUAACUGCUGUGCUGUGAAGGACGAGCAAAUUCCAGGUGAACACGAUGGGGGAGGUCACCCCACAGGAAGACAGCUUGUGCAGAGGCACAGCAGGGAAAGAGCGGGUGGCCUUCAUGCUGGGGGUAGGGCUGAGGGUGGAGGAGCACCAUGGGAGGAGCGGAGAGAGCACACCAGGCCAGACUGCGCCAGCGCCCGGGGGCUGGGCGGCGACUCCAUCCUACAGGUGAUGGGGUGCGGCCACUUGUGAAAGGCAAGCCAUGUGGCAGACAUCUUCCCCAGAGCCCGCUGAGCCGUGUGCCCCUCUGUCUCCAUUUCUAAGGCCUCAAAAGAGAAUUCACGAUCUGACUCUCCCACAAACACACAGCAGAGGCGGCCAUUUUCCGGCUGCUGUGACGGCAGAUCAGUUUCACCUGUACUUGAACUUUGUCUGAAUGGAUCAUCCAGUAUAAACUCCUUUGUGUCUGGCAUCGUUGGCUCAAGGUGUCUAUGAUAUUCAUCCGUGGGUAGAGUCUUUUCAAGCUUUGUUUCAAACAUUGAGAGUUGGGGCACUGAACUCGCAGAGGCCCAGACUUACCAGUCUCUUACUCACCCACCACAGAAGUGGGGCCUCAGGAAAAGGAGCGUUUACCGUCUUCUUUUAGAAGCUUACCCCGAACAUAAGCCUCAAGGACCACGACGUGGAGCGAGACCCCCACCCGCACUGAGCAGCGAGUCUCACUGCAGUACCCAACUCGAGAGAAGCGAUUAAACCCAGGGUGGAUUUUCUAUGCCCAGUGGUUUUCCAUUUUGUGUUUUAAUUUUUACUUUAAGGACUUAAUUUUAACAAAAGAGCCAAAUUACCACCAUGCUUUAAAAUGAACUUGUCUACAGGAGUUAAAAACAGGCUUUAGACUGUGAAGCUUUAAUUAACUUUGGAAGAUGGUAAUUAAACAGCCCCUGUGCCCGUCUCAAGCUUUGCAAAGGCAAGGAAGGGAGGCCAGAGUCUGGAGUUCUCACCUGGGCAGAACACUGGAGGCCCCUGAGAAGCUUCCACGUUCCCCAUGCCCAGGCCACACCCUUGACCAAUGACGUCAGAACCUGUAGGGUUGGCAUGCAGACACUAGGAUAGUUUUUUAAGCUCUCAGGCCAUUCCAGCACGCAUCAGAGGUUGAGAAUCUCUAGACCGAUUGGCAGCUGUCGAUGGUGGUGGGCUGAGAGAUGGGGAAGAUGGAAAUGGGUGAGGCUGAGAGACACAGAGAGGUCUUCACACCAAGUUACAUCUCAGCUUUGGAAAAAACCAGGGGCCCACAACCAAGCCAGGUGGCACCAAGAGACAUUUCCAACCUCUAAGGAAGUUAUGGGCUGAACUUUGUUCCCCAAAAUUCAUGUGUUGAAGCCCCACCCUGGGUACCUCAGAAUGUGACUGUAUUUGGAGAUGGGCCCUUUAAAGAGGUGAUUUCGGUAGAAUGAGGCCGUUAGGAGGAACUUAAUGCAAUCUGACUGGUGUGCUUGUAGGAAGAGGAGAUUCAGGCAGACAGAGACACUGGGCGCAGGCACAGAGGGAAGGGCCUGUGGAGGGGAAGCGAGAGGCGGCCAUCUGCAGGCCCAGGAGAGAGGCCUCAGGAGAACCCACCCCAGCACCUUGAUCUUGGGCUUCCAGCCUCUGGGACGGUGAGAAAAUAAAGGCGUGCUGUUGAGCCCCCGUCCGGUGUUUGUGUGGCACCAGGAGCCGAAUAAGACAAGUUCCACUUCAGCUCUGUGGCCACGUGUGUGAAGAGUCCCCCAGGGGCCACUCUUCUGGUGCAGCGUCUCCACUCACAGGACUCUGCCCUAAGAGUUACCCAGGAACACCCUUAGAGAAUUAUCUACAGGACGUCCACAGAACAUUCUUUACAAUUGUGGAUAAGGGUGAUGUUCAACGACAGGAGACGGAGAGGUAAAUGAUAGUAAUCAAUUCCACCGGGCGUGAGGAAGCCAUUGAGUUAUCAAGAUUUUUAAAGCUGCACACUCAGCACGACCUCUCACCUGUGCAAAAGUGUGUGGAUCUUGAUCUUGAUGCCUCAUCCUGAGAUCUAACGCCGUCCCAGGACACCAGAGAAAGGAACGCGGGUCGAGGCGGUCCAAAAGCAAACGAACGUCAAUCUUUGUGCCCAGCACUUCGAACCUUUGAUGCUCCAGGAAAAGGUGACACAAGAAACUACAAAAAACAAAAAACCUAACAACAUUCGUUUUUGUGAUUCAAGAACCAAAGCUUUGGGUGUAUGAAACUCGCCACCCACCCAAAAAGCCUGAAACUCUGGAGGCCUUUGGCAUCAGUUUUACGCCAUCAGCGAGAGAUCAGAAGGAUGCCGUUCAGAAAGGGCCCGCUUUUCCCUCCCCCGCCCUCCCCCACCUCCUAGGACUGGGUGAAGUUCCCCGGGCCAGAGGAGGAAGAGGACUGGGGCGAAGCAGAGGCUGGUGGGACUUCUGAGAAGGGGCCUUGUCCCUGGCCCUUACCUGGGGCUCUGCCUGGACGUGGGGAUGACAAUAGCCGCAUGAGCUGGGGGAUCUGAGAACAGAGGCCUGGAGCCUGGUUCCCCUGCUGGGUGGGGGCAGAAGCACGGGAAUGUUUGGGCAAAUGCCCUGGGACAGCCUCAGGGGCUGAGCAGGAGAGCUACAGGCCGCCCGGGUGCCCACAAGGUGUCCAGGCUCUUUGCCAGGUCCCACACCACGCCCUGCCGUCCCUCUGCUUUUUCAGCCACGGCUGGGGCUCCUCAGAGCUUAGACAGUCCUCCUGUUGGGUGGCCCAGGCUGGGGAAGGACAGCGAGGUGCCAGCCCAGCCCCAGGCUGUCGCUGCCUUUGAGGAGGGCCUGCUGCUUGCUCUCGGGCUUGCCGGUCUGGAGCUCUCCUACAACCCUGGGAACUAAGUGCCUUUGUCACUUACAGAUGAGGACACCUAGGCUCAGGGAGGUGACGUAAUGUGCUCAGGCCACACAGAGUGGAAUUCAGACCGUGGUCUGACUUUUUGUUGGUUUCAACUGACUUCAGCUCCCGGAUUCUUUUUUUUUUUUGAGGAAGAUUAGCCCUGAGCUAACAUCUGCUGCCAAUCAUCCUCUUUUUGCUGAGGAAGACUGGCCCUGAGCUAACAUUCAUACCCAUCUUCCUCUACUUUAUAUGUGGGACGCCUACCACAGCAUGGUGUGCUAAGCGGUGCCAUGUCUGCAACCAGGAUCCGAACUGGCGAACCCCGGGCCGCUGAGAAGCAGAACAUGCGAACUUAACCGCUGCACCACCGGCCGGCCCCAUCAGCGCCUGGAUUCUUUUCUCUACUCAAUGGAGACAAAAAGAGCUGAGGUGGCAAUGCCACAUCAUGUGCCCUCGGCUAGUCCUGGGACCAGAAAGCCGGACAGGAGGAGGAAAAGAAGGAACCACCAGAGCCACUGUCUCUGUUAAGUACAGUUUGCUAUAUUCAUGGAGACGGCGCAGUCUCCAUGAAUGAAAUUACGUCUCCCACAGGGAUCACGCCCAAUUCAAAG